rnacentral:lncRNA from 1 species
ACACCCGUGUCAAGCUGCCAUGAGGACCAAAGACUGGACCUCUUCGAUGACGAGGACGUCAGCGAAGAGGACGAGGCUGACAUUAUCUCACGGGAGGCACUGAAGCGUCAGUCUCAGCUGAUCAUCGACUCCAAGUCUAAGAAGAAGGCCUGGAAGAAGAAGAAGGGCAAGUUCUGAAGCGACGCCACAGUCUCAGGACUCAGGACCUUCCCAGCUGACGUCUCUCAUGGUCUCCACGGCAGCUGUGAUUGGACGACAUACAGAAUGUAACCAGACGGACAACUUUUGGCUGCAAAUUGACCGAUUGAGUCUUUGUUUCAUUUGAAGGGUCUUGUGGUCCUGAAGACUUGAACGUGUCGGUAAUAAUUUGAGGAUCAGCAU